rnacentral:rRNA from 1 species
AUUGAACGCUGGCGGCAUGCUUUACACAUGCAAGUCGAACGGUAACAGGUUAAGCUGACGAGUGGCGAACGGGUGAGUAAUGCAUCGGAACGUGCCCGGUCGUGGGGGAUAACGCAGCGAAAGCUGCGCUAAUACCGUAUACGAUCUAAGGAUGAAAGCGGGGGACCGUAAGGCCUCGCGCGAUCGGAGCGGCCGAUGUCAGGUUAGGUAGUUGGUGGGGUAAAGGCUCACCAAGCCAACGAUCUGUAGCUGGUCUGAGAGGACGACCAGCCACACGGGGGGGGAGACACGGCCCAGACUCCUACGGGAGGCAGCAGUGGGGAAUUUUGGACAAUGGGCGAAAGCCUGAUCCAGCAAUGCCGCGUGCAGGAAGAAGGCCUUCGGGUUGUAAACUGCUUUUGUACGGAGCGAAAAGGUCUCCUCUAAUACAGGGGGCUCAUGACGGUACCGUAAGAAUAAGCACCGGCUAACUACGUGCCAGCCGCCGCGGUAA